AUUGAACGCUGGCGGCAUGCUUUACACAUGCAAGUCGAACGGCAGCGCGGGCUUCGGCCUGGCGGCGAGUGGCGAACGGGUGAGUAAUGCAUCGGAACGUGCCCAGUCGUGGGGGAUAGCCCGGCGAAAGCCGGAUUAAUACCGCAUACGACCUGAGGGUGAAAGCGGGGGACCGAAAGGCCUCGCGCUAUUGGCGCGGCCGAUGUCGGAUUAGCUAGUUGGUGGGGUAAAGGCUUACCAAGGCGACGAUCCGUAGCUGGUCUGAGAGGACGACCAGCCACACUGGAACUGAGACACGGCCCAGACUCCUACGGGAGGCAGCAGUGGGGAAUUUUGGACAAUGGGGGCAACCCUGAUCCAGCCAUGCCGCGUGCGGGAAGAAGGCCUUCGGGUUGUAAACCGCUUUUGUUCGGGAAGAAAUCCUCUGGGCUAAUACCCCGGGGGGAUGACGGUACCGGAAGAAUAAGCACCGGCUAACUACGUG
rnacentral:rRNA from 1 species